ACUUAGAGUAUAUUUUUCCUCCGCUUGGAAAUCUUUAAAGAUGAGGACAGCCGUGUUGCUUCUUCUGUUGUGUCUUCUCUCUUUGGUUAUUGUUGAUCCUGUAGUUAGUCACGGCGGAUAUGUGAGAAGAUGUAGCAAUAGAGAGUGUUACAGAUACUGCCGGCUCAGAGGGUACCUCACUGGAUCCUGUAGACGCUCCUUCUACUGUCCGAGACACGGGCCAAGCUGUAGAUGUUAUAUACGGAGACCAUACUCUGGUGGCUGAAUUAUAAGGACUAAUUACCUUACGAAAGAACAUGGCGCUCGGAAUACUGUGAAAAUCAGAAAAGCCAGUGAUUUAAAUGUAUUAUGUUAUAAAUAUAGAUG